AAGAAAACCGCUACUGCAUCGAAAAGCUCACCCUCUUUAUAUCAUCGAUUCUAAAUUUCGCGCAGGUCUCGAUCUUCCUUCUCCAAUGGCGACCGAUUUCAAAGAAGAACUGAGCGAAAACACUCUUCCAGGACCGAAGCAAACCCUACCGCUAGAUUUUGGAAUCACAGCCGCUGGUAAUGGCCAUGUAGAUCAACACCAAAAUCGCCAUUCUUCCGCUACAAAGGAAGGUAUUGAAUCUCAAAGUUCCGCCGUGGGGAGAAUACCGGAGUCUCAUGCUUCUGUUUUUGAUAUCUUUAAGAAGAUCCGUCGGGCGGAGCGAUUUGGGAUCCCCGUACGUUUAUCAGAGGCAGAAAAGCGAUUUUCUCGAGCUGAGAGGUUCGGGAUUGAUUCAGUGUGUGGACCGGAUGAAAUGGCCAAAGCAGAGGAGCUGAAGAGAAAGGCAAGAGCAGAGAGAUUUGAGCUCUUAACUCUGUCUAUGGCUACUGAUGAAGAAGCAAAGAAGAAAGCUCGGCUUGCCAGAUUUGCCCCGUAUUUAUAGAAUUCCCCUUUGGUUAAACAACAACGCAAAAUCAACAAUUCUUAUGCACAGCCAAACUAUUAUUCAUUUGAUUGACCAAUUGAACGAGCCGACCUUGUCUCAGAUACCCCCUUAGUUAUUCGUAUCCUGGUCAGUUUAAGGAUGCGGAAAUUAUUUGUAUGAACUCUAUAGAAUUGAACUCCAUUAGCCGGAGGUGAAGUUUUAAUUUCUAGAACUGCACCCUCUUAUGGGUACUUUCAUUCAAUUUUCUACAUGCCCAUUUUUGUUUUCAAAAUAAAAUUAUCUAUACUACUAUAAUCAUCGUUCUUUUAGUGCUCAAGAAAGUCCUUCGAGUUUGAUCCAAGUAAAUGGCAAGGGAGAUGUUCUUGUUGGUUCCUUUUUAGUAGGUUUAGCGACUUGUUUGGUGAGGACUCUCAAUGCUCAAUCGUUAUGCAGUCUAUAGCUUACAGUUUCACAUUCUGUUUUCUGAAAGUACCACGGUUUUAUGGAAGGCAGAACAAUGGCCUAAAAGAAGUUUUUCCAUCUGUUUCAUCCAUUGAUGAUCAAUAUACUUCUGAUUUCCACCUUAUCUUACAGAUCUUAUUCAACUUUAUUAACACGGGAGAGGUUAUCUAAUUGCUUCUUUUAUCCUUUGCAGGUCUCACUUAAUCUUCAUGGGUCUUCAUGAUUUAGUUUUUUCUCCACAUUUUGCACACUGAAUUCCUGAUGCAUAGCGUUAUUGCUGUCACCCAGGUGCCUUUUCUUGAGUCGUUGGAUAAGAUGUGAUGGCAUGAAGCUCUUAGCCAUUCUUUUCUACAGCCCAAGUGUUUUCUUUUUUGUUUCUAUUACUUUUGAGGAUCUGUAAGAGGAAAAAAAAAUUUGUUGAUUGACACGGGCGAUGGAUUGAUUUCAGAAUCUUCCUUCAUUUUGAUAACACAUUUAAAUCACCUUUAGUUUUUUCCCUAUCCCCUUAGCAACUGCCCACAUCAUUUUUCUGCUCUGAUAGUUGUAGUUCAAAAGGUAGCAAAUGGCAGGGGUCUUUGGUCUUAAUCAUUAUAGAGAAUGGCAGAUGGAGCUCAGAAGCAUUUAGGAUUUGCUUCAAAAGCCUUGAGACUGCUUUCACUCUGUUUGACUUGCCCAUAUCUUUUUCAGUAAUCACUAAUAAGGGGAGUUGGGAAAUCUUCAGUAGCCUGUCAGAUGAGGUAACCCCCCCCCCCCCCCCACACACACACACACAAAAAGAAGAAAAAACUCCAUUUGACCAUCCUACAGUGGCAUCAGCCAUGUUUUAUGCCUACUAAUCUACAUACAACAACUGACAAAACGAGAAUAUUCUACGCUGAAGGUGAUGGUAAAGAACUGGACAAUGUUGACAUUUCUGAUAGAAUAACAAGAUUUACAAAGAUGAAGGACGUUGUUUCAUUUUGUUACAUUAAGAAACAAUUUACGAACUUUGUACAUUUACAUCCUGUCAUCUUCUAUUUUACUUGCUACUAGAAGAUCUUACAAAUUGAUAGAUCUUUCUAAGAAGCCUGAAGUUUCUAGUUUUGUUUGUGAAGAAAUUGAAAAAGGUAUAAAGACAUUAACAAAGUUUACCAGCUAGGAGUUUGCCGACGAGGGGAGACCUUCUCCUCCCUUGAUUGACAAGGAGCAAGGGGAGGGCCUAAUAUUGAUCAAAUGAGGAUCUAAGAACACAACUACAACAGAAAUGUCAUCGUGGAAAUGUCUUCUCACACCUCUAUCUAUCUUUUUCAGUUGUCACCAAGUGGAACCAUUAAUUCAAGAAAAUUUCGGUCACAAGUAGGAAAGUAGGUUGUCGUCAAUUCAAUGUCAUGUCAUCGAUCAACAAGAUGGAUUCUUACAUUUCGAGCAUAGCUGUUGACGAUGUCAACAGCCUUCUGGUUGCUAAGGUGCUCCCAUAGACCAUCAGAAGCAAAUAUGAGAUAUUGAUCAUCUGGGCGGAGUUUGUGUACUAGUAUUGACGGUUCUGCACUGAGGAUUGGUUUGUAAAAUGGCUCAGGCAGUUGAAAUUUAGGCGGGAGAGGUGGUCUGUUGAACUUUGCUUUUUUCAAAUAUGCAUCACCAAUGGAUCUUGAAACCUGCAGAAGAAUCACAAUCUGGGGAUCUUCUGGAUGAACCAUCCGAAGUUCAUCUCUCACAGACUCUAUGCUUGCGUUGUGUUCUGUGGACAAUUGAAUGGCAAUCACUUCUCUGGUGGCUCUCUCAGUUCUCCCAAGCACUACUCGUGAAUCGCCUGCAUUUGCAAUAUAUAGUUGUCCAUUGCAUAUGAUCCCUACCAAACAACAUGAUCCAGCAGAUGCAAUCUUUGGUUCAUUAAGCCACUGUUUCUGGACAAGAGAGAGAAACCCUUCUUCUGUUGCUGCAAAAGCCUUCCUGAUAACAUUUUCUGAUAUGUCUUGGUGUAAAGAUGCAUAUCCUGCAGUUGGAAACACCACAAAAGAAACAUCAAAAGCAGCUCGUGAGGACGUAAACUUCCUGCAAAUUUUAAGACCCAGAAAAACCAAUAAACAAAAAUCAGACUGUACAAUGUUUACAAUGAAGAUGAAAACCAACUUUUGAGAUUGCUGAAGAGAUUGUCGUUGACAAACCGUGAAGCUUCAGUUCCGCCAUGGCCGUCAUAGACUCCAACAAAGGUUCCCAGCGGACCUGGAUUGGUCAUACUCAAUGCCCCAGAUUCAAGCUGGCUUUGAUCUUCCACCACAUUAUUAGCUUGGAUUACUGCCAUGGAGAAUUGUCCAUAAACAUGGUGCCCCAGAUCCUUAGACCACAACAAUCCAUCAACUCGUCCGUUUGAAUCACCAUCAUCAUGAGGCUUCCAGCAGGGUUUAACCAUUUUUUUUCUUUCUAAAAGGCCAAUCACUGGACACAAAAUUACAGGAGUUUCUGAUUCAUAUGUAUCAUCCAAAUGAGCCGGCAAUCAAAAAAUUCAUCAUCCCAGAUCAAGAACACGACCUAGACCCACUCUCAGCUCCAGGUUCUGUUUAUACUCAACACUUACAAUCUCUAUUCCUGAAACUACAUCGACAUCCCCCCCAAUAUAUCCAGACACCAUUAAUAUGAACAAAAGAAGAAAAUUCAGAUAAAGACCAGACAGGUAUGGGCUAAAAUAACUGCAAAAUGUCCCUUUGAGACAAGAAAGCAACAGUCUUAAUACAAGUUCAGAGAAUAUGGAGGUGAUGCUGGUCCUGUGUACCUUGAAUCUGGGAUUUAUGGGUUUGGCCUUUGCUUCUGUGCCAUCUUCCAGGAACAGACUGAGCUGUAAAAGCACAUAACGGUUAAGAAAGUGGCAGCGUUUGGUCUCAGAUCAAAAGAGGAGAGCCAGCCGAUUGAAUCACUCCCUCAGGGUUUUUGGAAGCUUUUCCACAGAGGAUCCACCAGGUUAGUUUCUCUUUCUCUCUUUCUUUCUUUCUCUGUUUUUCUUUUUUUUUUUUUUUUUCCUUAUGCGAUCUAGCAUGGGGAUAAUAAAAACACACUAAACAAACUACAAAUCUGACAUUGCUGUCCCUCCCCAAUCCCCAAUCCUCAAUCUCCCUCCUUUUUACUUGUUCUCUUCUCUCUGCCCUUUUUCUUUCUUUCUUUUUUCCCCUUUUCUUUUUUCUUUAUUUUUAUAGACAAGUGGUGGGCUUUUUUAUGGGUUUGGGGCCUUUGGCCACUUCAUGUCUGCACUCCAAUUAUAAAAAGCUCCAACUGAAAUUUAUGAGCAAAACCCACCAUUUCUAAUCACCUUAUUAUCAUCAACCAUAACCCACCAUUUCAGGCAAAUUUUCCUAAUCUUAAAUCAGGAAAAAGAAACCCUCUUUUUUUCUUUUCUACACUGUUACAUUUCCGAUCUUCAAUUGGGAUUUCAUUCCUUGUAAAUCCAGCAAUCUAUUUUUUCUAGGUAGAGUUUUGAAGUGAGAUUCAGCAUUGGUUUCUUCCUUAAUCCUUCCACCUCUUCUCCUUUAGCAUGGUAGAGAGAGAUAAGACAUGAUUAAUGAGCUAAACUAAGCCUUCUUAAUUAGCAAAAUAAAAGGAAUUGAUUAAGUGAACUUUUUGGUUCAAUAAAUAAAAAAGAUCGAAUAAAACUACAAAAAAAUUUCUAAAAACUGUAUCUCCAUUUACAAAGCAACAAUAAAGUGGUUGUGAAAUUAAAUCUGAAAUGGAAUUGCAUAGCUGUCAGCAUGGCCAAGCAAUUAUGAAAGAGAGAGAGAAAGAGAAAAUAAGUUAAAAGGGAAAAGGAUAAGAGUGGGGAAUUAUAUUCUGUCAAAUACAAAGCUCAUAAUUUGUCAAUCAAAAGUCAUACUACAGAUUCCAGUGUCGUUAUCAUACUACUUAUAAAUUUUAGAUCUUAUAAAUUUAUAAACUUCCUUUAAUUACAAUUUUUUUAGCAAUUAGUUGUCCAAAAAAAUCUUUCAAAAUAAUCCUUAAUUUUUUCUUCAUUCUUAUUCGUACUUUUUCUAUAAAAAAAAAAAAAAAAAAAAAAGUUCUAUUGUCCAAUUAACAAAAUCUAACACACAUCGAUAUAUUCUUUCUUUCAUGUUUCAUGUAGCCUUUGUUUUUUAUUCCAAGUGGUGAAUUGUCGAAAAAAAAUAAGGUUGAAGCUGAAAUUUUAUUAGAAUAGAGUCCAAAUUAGUCCAGACAUUUUGAGACUAAUUGUUCUUAACUAUUUUUCUAAAAAAGGAAACAUUGUUUUUGUAACGAUUAACAAAAAAGAAUGGAAAAUUGCAAUGAAAAAAAGAAAAACCCUUCAGUGUGGUAGUACUUUGGUGAUUAUGCUCUUAACCUUUCCAUGGUAAAAAUUAAGCUUUCAAUUAUAAGUGUUAAAAGACCUUCAAAACUUGUAUAAUUUUGUAAAAGUUGUAUCGAUGGUAUAUGUAUUAGAGCUCAGUUUUUGUUAUUCGAAAGUUUAAUUUUUACCACAAGUUUGAGGACCAAAUUUAAACACCAAUUAGUUGAUUUUUGCAAAUGGUCCAAAAAAUAAAAAUAGAACACACAGUGGCCACUUUUGGGGAAAAAAAUCUUGAUUUCAGCUCAAUCAAAAAGUCUUCAGUGCAGCCAAUAAGAACUUUUGGUAUAGUUAGAGUUCCCUGUUAUUUAUUUUAGGAUUUCUCUCAAUCGUACUUGUAAGUUGUUAACCGACAUAAAGCGGUCCUUUAACACUAAUUUUUCAAUAUUAAUGAGUGCAUUUCCUCUUUA